rnacentral:tRNA from 1 species
CCGGGAUAGCUCAGUGUAG